rnacentral:rRNA from 1 species
AUACGUAGGGGGCAAGCGUUAUCCGGAUUUACUGGGUGUAAAGGGAGCGUAGACGGCCAUGCAAGUCUGAAGUGAAAGCUCGGGGCUCAACCCCGGAACUGCUUUGGAAACUGUAAGGCUGGAGUGCAGGAGAGGUAAGCGGAAUUCCUAGUGUAGCGGUGAAAUGCGUAGAUAUCAGGAGGAACACCGGUGGCGAAGGCGGCUUGCUGGACAGCAACUGACGUUGAGGCUCGAGAGCGUGGGGAGCAAACAGGAUUAGAUACCCUGGUAGUCCACGCUGUAAACGAUGAAUACUAGGUGUUGGAAGACUAAGUCUUUCAGUGCCGUCGCAGACGCAGUAAGUAUUCCACCUGGGGAGUACGUUCGCAAGAAUGAAACUUAAAGGAAUUGACGGGG